rnacentral:lncRNA from 1 species
CAGAUUAAUAAAUAUUCCUCAAGUAUCUCCCCAUUUGGCCACAAGGAACUGAGGGCAAUAUCCCUAGAAAUACUUUAAGAUUAAAGACGUUCUAAAGGAUUUGUGUUGGCGCCGCGACGCCGAACAUGGUUAAAUAUGAAAAUGGUUGUGACGUAGGUUGGAGGAAUAAGGAGGCGGAUGACACACUUUGGAAGGUAUAAAUACGGACCCCCGAAUCCGAAAAGUCAUCCGCUCCUCUCGACUUCUCCUCUCAACUGCUCUUCGUGAAGCACAGGCUCUCCAAAUCAACAAGGAUGAAUUCCUUCAAGGAUUGCUGUGACAGCGCAUCCUUCCCCCAGGGCAGCAGCGACAACUUCGGUGGCUUUGGCAGCUUCAACUUCCGGCCCAGACGCUCCUUCAGCUUCUACCGGGACCAGUGCCAAGAUGUGGCCCCAUCUGGCUUCAGGAACAUCUGCCAGCCCUCUGGGAACCUACGUGGCACCAUCCACGCCAGCCUCAAUGGGGAUGUGGUUGGGAAGAUCACGGGGAAGAUCGAGGGGCUCCCUGGGAUCCUGGGUUGUAUGGCUGUCACUCUCAAAGGGCUGAGGCACCUUUAGAGCACUUCAGUGGAGUAGAAAGAGACUUUUGGGUGUGAGGAAAGCACUUUUUAAGUUCAUCCGCAGCCACUUUGUGUUGCCACAGCAGUGGGAGUUUCUACAA